rnacentral:lncRNA from 1 species
UUUCCGUCGCGUAUUUGUGUCUGUGUGUGUAACGAAAAGUUUUUGUGUAAAUAAAAUAUUUGAAACUUUCACUUCAACAUGGCGUUACACAAACACGCGCUUUCUUUUGAACGUUUGACCAAAUAAAUGGCGUUGCUCAGUGGUUACCAAUAUUAGCUGAAACAUUUGAUGACGCGUGACUGGACGACUGCUCCGUCGUUUGCAGACUCCAUCUUGUCUUCUGUGAACGUUAUAUGCUUAUUCCGAAAGGUCCAUACGAAACAUACUUAUUACCUGUGGCUAUCUGCUGUGUCCAUAGAGGGGAAUCGAACCCUCUGAGUUUAGCGUUGUAAAUCCGAAGACUUACCAUUUCAGUGCCAACCAGGGUUCCUCAGGUGUCUCCCUGGUUACAGUUGCCACGACAACCUAAUCUCUUCCAAUAAGGUGAGUCUCGGUAGGCGGGUCGAUUCUGAACAUAUAUUCUGCAAUGUUAAAAUAUCCCAAAUACUCAACAUCAUCUGGUGUGGUGU